rnacentral:rRNA from 1 species
AGCGAACGUUAGCGGCGGGCUUAACACAUGCAAGUCGAACGAGAACGGUCCUUCGGGGCUUAUUAAAGUGGCGCACGGGUGCGUAACACGUAGGUAAUCUACCGUCGGGCGGGGGACAACAGGAGGAAACUCCUGCUAAUACCGCGUAAGACCACGACCACUACGGUGGAUGUGGGAAAAGAUAGCCUCUUCUUGAAAGCUAUCACCUGACGAUGAGCCUGCGGCCCAUCAGCUUGUUGGUAAGGUAACGGCUUACCAAGGCUAAGACGGGUAGCUGGUCUGAGAGGAUGAUCAGCCACACUGGAACUGAUACACGGUCCAG